AAUCACCCAACCACGUCACACAACUUAUUGAACUUUUCGAACUUAUUGAAGCAGGUAUACCUCGUAGCAUCGUUGUGGGGUCAGUACUCUACACACAAUACACAGAAGAUAUUACUACUAUUACUGAGACCCCAAUAGUUACAUCUGCAGAUGAUACAACAUACAACUUAUUGAACUUUUCGAACUUAUUGAAGCAGAUAUACCUCAUAGCAUCGUUGUGGGGCCAGUACUCUACACACAAUACACAGAAGAUAUUACUACUAUUACUGAGACCCCAAUAGUUACAUCUGCAGAUGAUACAGCAUACAACUUACUGAACUUUUCGAACUUAUUGAUAUUCAGAAUAUAUUGUAAUAUAGUUCUACGACUUCAACUUCAACGAUAAAGAUAUAAUAAAUAAACGAUAGUAUAACUACGAAUAUGGUAACGAAAUACAACUAAUAGAAGGGAAUUUCAAAGAGGAAUAAAAUCAAAUUUUCGCCGCUGGCAAUCUUGUAGCGAGAGCAACGAUGAAUAUUUUGAAAUGGAAUUGGAAUGUAAUUGGAGCUGUAGAUA